AUUGAACGCUGGCGGCAGGCCUAACACAUGCAAGUCGAACGAGUGGCGGACGGGUGAGUAAUGUCUGGGAAACUGCCCGAUGGAGGGGGAUAACUACUGGACACGGUAGCUAAUACCGCAUACCAUUGGAUGUGCCCAGAUGGGAUUAGCUAGUAGGUGGGGUAAGGGCUCACCUAGGCGAAGAUCCCUAGCUGGUCUGAGAGGAUGACCAGCCAAACUGGAACUGAGACACGGUCCAGACUCCUACGGGAGGCAGCAGUGGGGAAUAUUGCACAAUGGGCGCAAGACUGAUGCAGCCAUGACGAGUGUAUGAAGAAGGCCUUCGGGUUGUAAAGUACUUUCAGCGAGGAGGCGUUAAUCGCAGAAGAAGCAGCGGCUAACUCCGUGCCAGCAGCCGCGGUAAUAC
rnacentral:rRNA from 1 species